UCAAAUUUGAAAGCUGGUACCUUCGGUAUCCGCGUUGUAACCUCGAGACACGUUUUCCGUGCGGCGCUAUGGACAAGUUCCUUGGAACAGGACAUCGUAGAGGGUGAAAAUCCCGUACUUGCCAUGGAUGUACCGUGCUUUGCGAUACGUGCUCUAAGAGUCGAGUUGUUUGGGAUUGCAGCUCAAAAUGGGUGGUAGACUCCAUCUAAAGCUAAAUAUCGGGGAGAGACCGAUAGCGAACAAGUACCGUGAGGGAAAGAUGAAAAGCACUUUGGAAAGAGAGUUAAAAGUACGUGAAAUUGUCGAAAGGGAAGCGCUUGAAGUCAGCCAUGCCGCUCAGGACUCAGCCUGGCUUUUGCUUGGUGUAUUUCCUGGGUAGCAAGUCAGCAUUGGUUUGGAUCGUCGGAGAAGCAUAGUUGGAAUGUGGCGCCCUCGGGCGUGUUAUAGCCUUCUAUUGGAUACGACGAUCUGGACCAAGGAACGCAGCGCGCCUUAUGGCGGGUCUUCGGACACCUUCGCGCUUAGGAUGCUGGCGUAAUGGCUUUAAGUGGCCC
rnacentral:rRNA from 1 species